rnacentral:rRNA from 1 species
CGGCAUGCCUAACACAUGCAAGUCGAGCGAGAAGGCUUCAACGGAUUCUUCGGAUGAUGAUGGAGCUGGAGAGCGGCGGACGGGUGAGUAACGCGUGGGUCACCUGCCUUGUAGUGCGGGAUAACACAGAGAAAUUUGUGCUAAUACCGCAUAAGCACACAGUAUUACAUGAUACAGUGUGAAAAACUCCGGUGGUACAAGAUGGACCCGCGUCUGAUUAGCUAGUUGGUAAGGUAAGAGCUUACCAAGGCGACGAUCAGUAGCCGACCUGAGAGGGUGAUCGGCCACAUUGGGACUGAGACACGGCCCAAACUCCUACGGGAGGCAGCAGUGGGGAAUAUUGCACAAUGGAGGAAACUCUGAUGCAGCAAUGCCGCGUAAAGGAAGACGGAUUUCGGUCUGUAAACUUAUAUCAGCAGGGAAGAUAGUGACGGUACCUGACUAAGAAGCCCCGGCUAACUACGUGCCAGCAGCCGCGGUAAUACGUAGGGGGCAAGCGUUAUCCGGAAUAACUGGGUGUCAAGGGUGCGUACGCGGUUCGGCAAGUCAGAUGUGAAAGCCUAAGGCUUAACCUUAGGAUUGCCUUUGAAACUGUUGAACUAGAGUGCAGGAGAAGUAAGUCGAAUUCCUAGUGUACCGGUGAAAUGCGUAGAUAUCAGCGAAGAAUACCAGUGGCGACGGCGGCUUACUACACUGCAACUGACGCUGAGGCCACGAAAGCGUGGGUAGCGAACAGGAUUAGAUACCCUGGUAGGCCACGCUGUAAACGAUGAAUACUAGGUGUCGUGGGGUCGAACCUCGGUGCCGGCGUUAACGCAAUAAGUAUUGCACCUGGGGAGUACGAUCGCAAGGUUGAAACUCAAAGGAAUUGACGGGGGCCCGCACAAGCGGUGGAGCAUGUGGUUGAAUUCGAAGCAACGCGAAGGACCUUACCAAGUCUUGACAUCCUUCUGACCGGUCUGUAACGAGACCUUCUCUUCGGAGCAGAAGUGACGGGUGGUGCAUGGUUGUCGUCAGCUCGUGUCGUGAGAUGUUGGGUUAAGUCCCGUAACGAGCGCAACCCUUAUUUUUAGUAGCCAGCGGAUGAUGCCGGGGACUCUAGAGAGACUGCCGGGGAUAACUCGGAGGAAGGCGGGGAUGACGUCAAAUCAUCAUGCCCCUUAUGAUUUGGGCUACACACGUGCUACAAUGGCAGGUACAACGGGACGCGAAAGGGCGACCUGAAGCAAACCCCAUAAAACCUGUCCCAGUUCGGAUUGUAGUCUGCAACUCGACUACAUGAAGUUGGAAUCGCUAGUAAUCGUGAAUCAGAAUGUCGCGGUGAUACGUUCCCGGGCCUUGUACACACCGCCCGUCACACCAUGGAAGUCGGAAGCGCCCAACGCCAGUGACCUAACCUUCGGGGAGGAGCUGUCUAAGGUG